AGAUGGUGCCUCUUUGGAUGCACCUGGUGGCAUGGUUAGCUUAGGACAGAAGGAGAAUAAGUGAAGCUCUUUUCGAUGGCAUUUAAAGAACUUCCUUUCCCGGGACGGCAGCAGGACAUGCACCUGUACGUGAAAGGGAAGGUGUCGUGAAGAGUAAAGCCAGACCAUGUGAUGCAUUAUUCACCAUAGCCAACGUAUGGGAACGACGUCAAUGUCCGUCAACAGAUGAAUGGAUAAAGAAAACGUGAUGUGUAUGUACACAGUGGGCGUAUUCCCUAGAGAAAGGAACUCUUACCACUUGCAGCAACGCAGGUGGACCUGGAGGACAUGAGGCUAAGGGAAAUAAGUCAGACAGGGACAAACACUAUAUGAUCUCAGUUGCAAGUGGAAUCUGAGAGUGAAACGUAUAGAAGCAGGGCAUAGAAUGGUGGGUUCCAGGGCUUGGGGGAGAGCACGGGGGAGAUGCUGCAGAACAGGUAAAAAGUUUGAGUUAUGCAAGAGGAAUAAGUUCUAGAUAUCUGCUGUGCAGCGCUGUCUAUCCUUAGCAACACGGUACUGUGCACUUCAGAAUACACUGAAGGACAGAUCUCAUGUUUAGUGUUCUUCCAAAAAAAAAAAAAAGAAAAGAAAGACAAGCUAAAACCAAAAAGAACACAAAGGCAUUUUUGGAGGUGAUGGAUACGCUUAGUACUGUGAUUGUGUGAUGGUACCGUGAGUGUUUGCACAUGUCCGAACUCAUCAAGACUCGUGCAAUGAUGCUUCAAUAAACAUUUUUUAAGAAUUGCGGGCAGGCCAGUGGAAUUGGAGCAUGGAAAGGGGGCAGGGAGGUGGUUGUUGGGGAAGAGGUUGGGAGGAGAGGCAGGACCUCCUGGUUUACCAGGAGAGGCACGGAUCUCUAGGAUAGGGUCAGCCAGGCCACGGCUCUGCUGAGGUUGAGUUGAAGAGAAGCCAGCCAGGACAGGAGGGAUAACAGAGGUCCUGGGAUGAAAGUUUGCUGCACGCAGGAAGAAAAGCUUUCUGGAAAGGCGAUUAGGAAUUGCACGGCCUCUCAGUAAACCGGUGAUCAUCCCUCCUUUCCAAAGUAAUCACUCAGGAAAUUAAGUCUUAAAAAAAAGCGAGCAGGGAGAGAGACGGAACACAGAUUGGGUUUUAGGGGGAGACUUUGCAGUUCUGGUGUGGAGGAGAGGGCUGGCCGGGGACUUGGGGAAGAGGCUGAAGAUCACAUCAGCAGAAUAGUUAUGCUACCGGUGCGCCUCUCUCCGGCUCUCUACUAAAUUCUUCACGUUUAACUCCACCUCAUGCUCUGAGAGCGACUUUUAUGACCUCUGCACAGGUGACGCGUAACAAGCCAGCUCUCUGACACGUGCGGCUCAGCAGUGCAGCUCCAGAAAGGCGUUCUUUCUCAGCUGCAAGGACUCCUGGGAGAGGAAAUGUGUUGAGACUCCAACACGUCACUGUGAAUGGUUUUUCCCAACUGGAAGGGUGGCAGCCAGUGGAACGUGGCCCCCAGAGAGCGGUUGUGAAGCUGCACUGGGGACACCAGCUGGAGGACACGUGGGCCACACCCUUGCAGAGGUCAGCGCGCAGUCAGGCUCCACAUUCGUUCGACUCACAAGCUUCCCAGCAGCUGGAGCCUCCAGGCAAUGGGAUGGGGGAGGGCUUCCUUGCUGUAGGCCAGAGUGACAUGUCUGCCUGAUCUGUGCGAGACGAAGUGGCCACUCUAUCUACCGUCCCUGACACGCACUGACCACCAAGCAAGACACCUUCCAGACAACCUUCCUGACUUCUGAUAGCGCCAUGUGGUGGGCACUACUUGCCGCAUGUGAGAGAAGGGGAGACAGAGAAUCCAAACGAGUAAACGACUUGGCCAAGCUCCCUGAGAGUGAGAGCGAGUCAGUAACGUCCUCUUCGUCCACCUCCAAAGCGACUUGUCUGAGUUCACAGCUUGAAUGUGGCUGAGCAGAGACGCCUUGGGGACCUGUGACUCCUUGGUGCUCUGUACCCCUCCACCCCACAGCGUGGACAGCUGCCCCUGGGGACACUCACGGGGUCAGCCCUGCGGGGAGGGACAGCUUCUGUGUGAGAGGGGCCCAGGUCCCAUCUGCCCAAGCACACGGGUCUGUCUUCACACUGCACUCCCUUCCCCACACAUGGCGGCCCCAGGGCCCCUGCGCGCAAUGUUCUCUCUCCUCUGGCAGAAGAACCGGAGGCUCAGAUGAGCUUUAAUUUGUGACUGGACAUGUUUCAGUGACAUAUUUCCAAAUCAGAUGUUUCAUCCACUCCGUUUAUCCUAAAUUCCAUGACUCUAUUUCAGAGCCUAACAGACCCCCGCUUGGGAAAUUGACACAUCCAAAUGGACUAUUUGGAUGGAAGCUUCCGUCUGACCAAGUGCAGCCAGAGCACCCGGCAAAUGGAAAAUGCAAACAUAUGGCAGAAGGAGAAGAGCAGAUUUGCAGCCACAUUAUGAGCUCUGUGACAAAUGGGGCUCUUGCAGGGCCCAAAAUUCUUAUUGUCUUCGCUCAUGGUGGAUGGCCUUUGGGGCAGAAUGGUAAUAACCGUUCCUGAGAAUUUCGGUUCAAGUUAACUCCUAAAUAAAUUA